rnacentral:misc_RNA from 1 species
UCUCCGUUGGUGAACCAGCGGAGGGAUCAUUACCGAGUUUACAACUCCCAAACCCAAUGUGAACCAUACCAAACUGUUGCCUCGGCGGGGUCACGCCCCGGGUGCGUCGCAGCCCCGGAACCAGGCGCCCGCCGGAGGGACCAACCAAACUCUUUCUGUAGUCCCCUCGCGGACGUUAUUUUUACAGCUCUGAGCAAAAAUUCAAAAUGAAUCAAAACUUUCAACAACGGAUCUCUUGGUUCUGGCAUCGAUGAAAACGCAGC